rnacentral:rRNA from 1 species
GAUGAACGCUGGCGGCGUGCCUAAUACAUGCAAGUCGAGCGAACGGACGAGACGCUUGCUUCUCUGAUGUUAGCGGCGGACGGGUGAGUAACACGUGGAUAACCUACCUAUAAGACUGGGAUAACUUCGGGAAACCGUAGCUAAUACCAGAUAAUAUUUUGCACCGCAUGGUUCAAAAGUGAAAGACGGUCUUGCUGUCACUUAUAGAUGGAUCCGCGCUGCAUUAGCUAGUUGGUAAGGUAACGGCUUACCAAGGCAACGAUGCAUAGCCGACCUGAGAGGGUGAUCGGCCACCUUGGAACUGAGCCACGGUCCAGACUACUAAGGGAGGCAGCAGUAGGGAAUCUUCCGCAAUGGGCGAAAGCCUGACGGAGCAACGCCGCGUGAGUGAUGAAGGUCUUCGGAUCGUAAAACUCUGUUAUUAGGGAAGAACAUAUGUGUAAGUAACUGUGCACAUCUUGACGGCAACUAAUCAGAAAGCCACGGCUAACUACGUG